UAAAGCAAAGAUUUUCCAUUUCAUCACUUUCACUUGAGCUACCCGCCUUGGAGGAUUCACUAUCACUAUCCCAUACGAUGUAUGCUCUUCUAGACUUGCUAGACUUCUUUUAUUGUCCCUUUCCUUUAUCCUUCUUAAGCAAUGUACAACCCUACUUGUAAUGACCGACUCUUCCACAAUUAUAGCAUGAACCUUUAGAUUUUUCCUUCUUAUUCUCAUCUUCCAUUGAGGUAUUUGAAUGCCUUCUAUAGUUGAUGAGAUUCUUGUCGGAAUGCUU
rnacentral:lncRNA from 1 species